ensembl:lncRNA
GGAAAAUAAGAAGGAGGCAGGCGGGCGGGCAGACGAGCGAGAGGACAGAAGGGAAAAAGAGCCUGAGUCCCGCAGACGGGACCUGGAGGGAGUCCGGGGUAGGCGGCGGAACGUGCGGGACCCUUUUCCCGCUGACGAGCGAGAGGUAACAGCGGAAGGGACAUCCGCACACGUUGGCGAAAGCGCUGCGGGGAAUAAUGCCCAACCACCGCGAUCUUCGCGACCGACGGCAUCCUCACGUACAGUGCCCUCCGCGGCCACAGAUCUGCGGCUAAACAAACCCAAAUGAACAAAAUAAGUGCAAACCAGGCUUCUUCCUGCAAGGGACUUGAAAUGCAUGUAUGAGGAGCGUAUAGAAUAAAAGAAAAGAAAAAAAAAAAAGUGUGUUUUCAGCUCCAAAUCGCUGCAUUAACAGCAAGAGAACAAGAUCAGUAUACCUGACAGAAGGGGGCAAACUCCUGUUCGGACAGCGAUUGUUGUAUGACAAGAAGCAACAACUGCUUUGCUAUAAAAACAGUGUUUAUUACGAAGAAACCGAAUGAGCAGCCAUCCAAAUAAAUACCCCCUGCAUCCAACAAGUGCGCGGUGUUUGUGAUGUUUUGGGUGCCGCUGACCUUUCUGUCCUUUUAACCAUUACUGUGUUUUUGCUCGCCGUUAUGAACACUGUUUUCCAG